GCAACUAUAUUGUUACCAUCUGUCAUUCUUCUCUGUUUUGCUUUGACCUGUCAUUAUAAUUAGCGCGCAACUACAAAUUUUCAUCAAUAUGGCUUUUGCCCACUUGAACAAUGUGGAUUACGUUCCACACUCAACAAAAGCGCAAGAUAAAGAAUCCGCCUGUUUCAUUUUCUGGUUGCAGCUAAAAGUGGUAGCACAGCAAUGUGCAAAACUUGCAGCAAAAUUAUAAAAACCAAUGGUGGUUGCACCAAAGGCCUUUGGACUCAUCUAAAUGUUCACAACAUCAAAGCGCAGCGAAAAUCUAAAGAGGACACCAAGGUCGCACCUAAAACGAAAGUUCAGAAGAUAGCAAACUAUUUUUCUCCAAAGUUCGAAGAGAGCCUUAUGGCUGUUGUAGCACGGUUAACUGCGGUGAUGGAUUGCCUUUCAGAAAGUUGACAGAAUCCAAGGAAUUGAGAAAAUGUCUUGAAGCACGAAACUUCAAUGUUCCUAAAUCUGCAGACUCAAUAAAGGAGCUUAU